CAGGGUAUGGUGGAGUAGAAGGCCCUGGAGUCUGGGGUACAUAGGAGUCCCGUGUGUUCAGAGGGUUGUCUCCGUGGAUGACAGGACCUCCUAGGAUGGGGUGUUGGGUGAUGGAGGGGAUGUCUGUGAAGCACGGGCCAAUCCUUGGGAAAUGCCGCAGAGAAACUCAGGAGGACAAGGAGGGAAGGGGGGGGGACUGGCGGGUUUCAGUGGCAGAGGGUGGAGGGGAACGGGUUGCAGUUCAGACCCAGGUCCCCGUCAUGAGGUUCACAAGGCAGGAGAGAAACAACCACCGCUUAGGAAAGCACAAAAAGCCAGUGUUUCAGGGCAGGAGGAAGCAAUGAGUCUGAGACAAGGGUGGAAGGAGAGGAAUGGGUGGGCAGGGCCUCAGCAGUGGAAGGAGCAAGGUUGAGGGAUGCUUAGGGAAUUCAAGGAAGGGGGAAGGAAACAAAGGGAAAAGUUGAGAGAGAGUGGGAGGGAGGAAGGGAGGGAGGGAGAGAGAAGGUGCAGGUAAGAGCAGCUCUCCUGAUUUGGUGUUGAGGACAACCACAGGACAGGGUUGGGCAGCCUCAGGAGUCCCAGGUGUGUUCAGCAGAGCUGCUCCACUGCCCUGGUCUCUCUGGGGGCUGGUCCCAGAGCACACAGAGCAGGAAGGCAGGGAGGAGAGGCGCCCUCUAUGGAUGGCACCCUGACAUAUGCUGUUCCCCUACAGGCCUGCAGACUAAAGCCAGAACUGUAGCUAGCCUGGGCACCCUCCUGAAGACCUGAGAUGGGUGGAGCUGGUGUUCAUUCUCCAGUUUGUACCAACACCGCAGGGCAGACAAGACUUCACCCUUCCCAAGGAAGAACCUUGGGAAAGGCUGCUUCUCCAGGACAAUCCGCCUUCAAUGGGCCCUUGGGACCUCUACUGGCUACACUGCACACUGCCUCUCGAUCUUCCAGGAGGCCUCCAGAGAGCCUCAAAUGAGAGCUCACCUCAGAGUGUCAGGGGGUCACAGAGCCCCCACACAGAGAACCAGCCCCACACAGGUUUGAACUCUCUUCUGCUCAGCCUCUAACCCACUUUCCGCCCUUUCCUUCCUAUACAGGGGAUCCUUCCAAAACACUGAGGAGAAAUAUGAGAACAUUGGGAUUAAAAGACAACAAACAGAGCCCCAGAUGGAGCCCCAGCUGGAGCCUAAGAAUGAAGCCCAGAACAACAGCGGCAUCCUCUAUGCCUCCCUCACUCUCUCCAGCUCCUCAUCACUGGCAGCAUCUCCCUGCAUCCCUCCC